CCGAUUCGUUCAAGAAAAAAGCGUAACGCAUGUCUGCAACCAUUCCUCCCCUGUUCUCUCGCCAUCAACGCAAUGAACGUUUCGAUUCCUUUUUGAUGAACUCAUUUGCUAGGGUUAGAGUAAGAAAUUUAUUCUUACCUGCCACUCCAGUUCUUCCAAUCUCCGUAUACCAAAAUUAGGGUUCUUGAUUGAUCUUCCGUAACGAAAGUAAAAAACCCUCAUCCAAUGGUAUUAUUGAAGUAUGCAACUCAUUCAAAAAUCUCUGCAACUGUUUAUCAGAUAUGAUAGAAUAGACAAACUAUUAAACAAGGAAUUUCAAAGAUCGUAUAUGAAACUCAAAAUCAGUUGAGUGGUUUCUUGAUGAAUCCGAUCCUUAGUUUCAACAUGAAUCUGAUCGUAUAGGGUUACAGUAAGAAAUUUAUUCUUACCUGCCACUCCAGUUCCUCCAAUCUCCGUAUGCCAAAAUUAGGGUUCUUGAUUGAUCUUCCGUAACGAAAGUAAAAAACCUUCAUUCAAUGGUAUUACUGAAGUAUGCAACUCAUUCAAAAAUCUCUGCAACUGUUUAUCAGAUAUGAUAGAAUAGACAAACUAUUAAACAAGGAAUUUCAAAGAUCGUAUAUGAAACUCAUAAUCAGUUGAGUGGUUUCUUGAUGAGUCUGAUCCUAGGUUUCAACAUGUGCACAGUACUACGAAAACUGUGUUGAUCUCAAGGAUUUGCAGGGGAUGAUUGAUGAAGUUUCUUUGGAGGAAUUUGAUGAUAAGAAGGAGUGAAGGACAGUAGCGAUAGAGGCCUAGAUGAAGAUAGAAGACACUCGAAGAAUAAAGAGGUUCUCAAAUUUUCCAGAAUAUACAAAAGAUCUCACAAAAAUAUAGUAUUGGGCAAACAGAAACUUUUAUGGCAGGGGUUGGACACUAAAGUUCACAUUUUGGCGCCAUUGUACCAGGUAUCCUGGAUCAAACACCCAUGGGAUGCUUAUAAUGAUAUGAAAGAGCAGAGAUACGGAUAUGCAUCAAGUUUCUCAUAUUAUGCCUUGAGUUAUGACAGACCUGAUGGUACUUGAAGAUAUAUCAGGUGUUCGUCCUUGGAGAAGGUAGCUGAAUCCUUUGAGCCUCCCUUGCAACUGUUGCUCCCUUGGAUUCCCAGAGAUUUUGUCCAGCUCAACAAGUCAGAAUUUCUUUCUUUUUAUACAAGUUUGAAGGUUGGUAAAGUCAAAAACUUGGGGAAUGAAAAUGUCUCUUAAGUUUAAAGCUCGGUAGUUUAGCCGGAACAAAAUAUUGAUCGGUACCAACAUCCGUUGAUAAGUUCAUACAGUAACGAAGCAACAACAUUUAUUGAUCGGUACCAAGACGGUGAUGAAAUUUUUGAAAGUGGCCAUAAUUAUGAUUUGGUUUACCUUACCAUUUUCUAACCCAGCUCUAGAUUUGUAAGCUAUCUUUUUCAUAGAUGUGAGUCAUGUGACAGAGAGGUGAUGAAGCUUUUGUGAUGUUAUUCGAAUGAGUUUGGUAAUUCUUCCCAGUGUAGUAUUGAUCUCACUUCAA